AGGAUGAACGCUAGCGGCAGGCUUAAUACAUGCAAGUCGUGGGGCAGCAGGUCUGUAGCAAUACAGAUGCUGGCGACCGGCAAACGGGUGCGGAACACGUACGCAACUUUCCUUCAAGCGGGGAAUAGCCCAGGGAAACUUGGAUUAAUACCCCAUAAUUUUAUGAAGUGGCAUCACUUUAUAAGUAAAGCUCCGGCACUUGAAGAUGGGCGUGCGGCUGAUUAGGUAGUUGGCGGGGUAACGGCCCACCAAGCCUGCGAUCAGUAACUGGUGUGAGAGCACGACCAGUCACACGGGCACGUGAGACACGGGUCCCGACUCCGUACGGGAGCAGCAGUAAGGAUAUUGGGCAAGUGGACGCAAGGUCUCGACCAGCCGAUCGCCGGCGUAGGACGGUAGUAGGAACGGUCCUCGU
rnacentral:rRNA from 1 species